rnacentral:rRNA from 1 species
GACGUAGGGCGCGAGCGUUGUCCGGAUUUAUUGGGCGUAAAGAGCUCGUAGGCGGCUUGUCGCGUCGACUGUGAAAACCCACGGCUUAACUGUGGGCUUGCAGUCGAUACGGGCAGGCUAGAGUUCGGUAGGGGAGACUGGAAUUCCCGGUGUAGCGGUGAAAUGCGCAGAUAUCAGGAGGAACACCGGUGGCGAAGGCGGGUCUCUGGGCCGAUACUGACGCUGAGGAGCGAAAGCGUGGGGAGCGAACAGG